rnacentral:rRNA from 1 species
GAGUUUGAUCGUGGCUCAGAUUGAACGCUGGCGGCAUGCCUUACACAUGCAAGUCGAACGGCAGCAUGAUCUAGCUUGCUAGAUUGAUGGCGAGUGGCGAACGGGUGAGUAAUACAUCGGAACGUGCCCUGUAGUGGGGGAUAACUAGUCGAAAGAUUAGCUAAUACCGCAUACGACCUGAGGGUGAAAGUGGGGGACCGCAAGGCCUCAUGCUAUAGGAGCGGCCGAUGUCUGAUUAGCUAGUUGGUGGGGUAAAGGCCCACCAAGGCGACGAUCAGUAGCUGGUCUGAGAGGACGAUCAGCCACACUGGGACUGAGACACGGCCCAGACUCCUACGGGAGGCAGCAGUGGGGAAUUUUGGACAAUGGGGGGCAACCCCUGAUCCAGCAAUGCCGCGUGUGUGAAGAAGGCCUCGG